AAUUUUGGACAAUUGUUGAAACUCUGAUCCAGCCAUCCCGCGUGUAUGAUGAAGACCUUCGGGUUGUAAAAUACUUUUGGCAGAGAAGAAAAGGUACCUCCUAAUACGAGGUACUGCUGACGGUAUCUGCAGAAUAAGCACCGGCUAACUACGUCCCAGCAGCCGCGGUAAUACGUAGGGUGCAAGCGUUAAUCGGAAUUACUGGGCGUAAAGCGUGUGUAGGAGGUUCGGAAAGGAAGAUGUGAAAUCCCAGGGCUCAACCUUGGAACUGCAUUUUUAACUGCCGAGCUAGAGUAUGUCAGAGGGGGGUAGAAUUCCACGUGUAGCAGUGAAAUGCGUAGAUAUGUGGAGGAAUACCGAUGGCGAAGGCAGCCCCCUGGGAUAAUACUGACGCUCAGACACGAAAGCGUGGGGAGCAAACA
rnacentral:rRNA from 1 species